rnacentral:rRNA from 1 species
CCUACGGGAGGCAGCAGUGAGGAAUAUUGGUCAAUGGACGCAAGUCUGAACCAGCCAUGCCGCGUGCAGGAAGACGGCUCUAUGAGUUGUAAACUGCUUUUGUACGAGGGUAAACGCAGAUACGCGUAUCUGUCUGAAAGUAUCGUACGAAUAAGGAUCGGCUAACUCCGUGCCAGCAGCCGCGGUACUACGGAGGAUUCAAGCGUUAUCCGGAUUUAUUGGGUUUAAAGGGUGCGUAGGCGGUCGGAUAAGUUAGAGGUGAAAUCCCGGGGCUCAACUUCGGAAUUGCCUCUGAUACUGUGCGGCUAGAGAGUAGUUGCGGUAGGCGGAAUGUAUGGUGUAGCGGUGAAAUGCUGAGAGAUCAUACAGAACACCGAUGGCGAAGGCAGCUUACCAGGCUACUUCUGACGUUGAGGCACGAAAGCGUGGGGAGCAAACAGGAUUAGAUACCCUAGUAGUC